ensembl:lncRNA
UAUGUUCAUCUCAUUUCCCAUGAGUUGGUUUAUUUCUCAAAACAUCACAAAAAACGCUAACUUUAACACAAGCAUGUUCCUUGUGACAAUCUUAUUCUGGCCUGAUUAUUUUCAAACACACAAAUACUGUAGGAAGUUGUAUAAUAAAAGUUUAACUUUAUAGACAACAUGAUACUUACUGUAUGUUGAACUAAUAUAACAACAAUCUGCAGCAAACAUUGAGUCAUUCUUAAAAAUAAAAAUGUUUUACAAAUUGCUCCAGAAUACAAAAUAAUAGUGAAUACAAAGAACAGGUAACGACCUUUAAUGCCGCGUGUAGGUGCUUGUCGGAACUGGGAAACCUCUGACUUGCUAACUGGUUGAACACGUGUAUAACUAACAAGUCGAAAAAUUCAGAGUUGCAGCAUUUAGCCAGAGCAAUCACACACCUCAUUCAAUUUCCAAUCAAUUCAGAAAACACAAUCCUAAAUCAACACAACAAAUCAAUACAACCUAUCAUUUCCUUGCGUGAACUGCCUGGUGUCUUAUCAGAUUGCUCAGAAAGGAGAAGUUUUUUCCACACUGGGUGCAGUGGAAACGUUUUUCCCCUGUAUGGACACUCUGAUGCACUUUCAGGUUGCUGGAAUGAGAGAACUGUUUCCCGCAUUGAGCGCAUCUGAAAGGUUUCUCCCCUGUGUGUACUCUCUGGUGCCUCUUCAGGCCACACAGCUGGCUGAACUGCUUCCCACACAGGGCGCACUCGUACGGUUUCUCCCCUGUGUGAACCCUCUGGUGCAUCUUGAGCUGGCACAGGUGAGGGUACUCCCUCUCACAGAAGUUGCACCUGUAGGACCUCGCCCCCUCCUCCCUAGACCCUCUGUCCUGAUGAGUCCCAGUCACGUCGCCCAGGUGGGUGUCGGGGGCGCUCCCAGGGAAAUCCACCCAGGUGGGGUACUGCAGCUCCUCGGUUCCCGUGGCGUAUGGAGUGGCGGUGGUUGCGGGGUUCUGAAAGGUGCCGAGGCGGUUGUUGAAUGCGCCAUCCAAGCCGAUGGUGUAAAAGUGAUUGUCAGAUGAGUUCUGUCUCGCUGCUGGCUGGACACCUGGGUGAGGAUGAUGAUGAUGAUGAUAAGCGUUACUCGAAUGUCCUCCGAGAAGCAUGGCAUCUGCUUCACUAUGUCCUCCAUGAUGAUGCCCGUGUUCCAUGAUGUCACCUUGUCUCCAGGACGAGGGCGUGCCAUCCCCAUCUUCCCCCUCGUCAACAUGGAGGGGGUCAAUAACUAUGACCUCAGACUUGACCUCUGAACUGCCCUGGGAAUUCUCGUGUUCACCCCUCACCAUCUGAGGAAGUGGGGGAAUGGGGUUCACCUUUUUGAGAGGCGAGGGGCUUCCUGAGACUGUCUCUGCAACAUAACUAGAACAAGACGGCCGAUCAUUCUCUAUAUCACUGCCUCUUCGCUUACGGGAGUUUACAGGCAGAUCGGUUGUUCUCUCGCAGUUUAGGCUGCGCUGCUGUUUAGCAACAGGUCCUGGACCUGUGAGUUGGAACACCUGGCUCAGGCUCUCAGGCUCCGGGUCUGACUUGAAAACAUUGUCUGAUCUGUUGACAGUCACUAUGCUGUGUUUGGUUCUGAGCUGCUCAGUGAGCUCUGUUUGGUCCGUGUCUAGAGAGGUCGGUGUGUUUGGGUCUGUCAUUCUGUGGCCACUAUCAGUGCCUGAAGAGACAGCAAAAGCAUGAUGGUCAUUAUGCAGUCAAAUAAAACAAUGAGGUUGUCAAUCAGUAUGUCAUUUUUCAUUACAGCAAUCCAUAAAUCAUUACCUGGCAUCUCCCUCAGACCAUCUUCUUUCUUCCAUGGCUGGAGGUCUCUCUCCCCUUCCACAGUAGAUUUGUCCUGAAAAGAGGAGGGAGGAAUUAAGUAGACAGACAUGAGCUCUACAAAGCUCUCAAACAAAUGCAGGUCUAUUAUAACUCAGAUAUUACUAGGCUAUAAUAUUGAUCGAAUGGCUUGAAUUAAGAUGUUAA